AUCACUUCUCUGCCUUUUGACUAAGAGCAAGUGUAGUAUCUGUUCAGUUUAAUAUCUGAUAUGUCCUCUAUCCAAGGACAAUAUAUUAAAUGGAUUUUUAACACUAGGAGAUGAAAUAGAAGCUUGCUCUGUCCACUCCAUGCAUCGACCUAGUUUUGCAGUACUUCCAGGAAUGGUGCACUCCCC